GAGGUGGGAGGAUUGCUUGAUUCCAGGAGUAUGAGGCUGCAGUAAGCCGUGAUCGCACCACUGCACUCCAGCCUGAGUGACAGAGCCAGACUGUCUCA
rnacentral:miRNA from 1 species